rfam:Nicotiana attenuata strain TT chromosome 7, whole genome shotgun sequence.
AUGCCAUGGUGUGGACACUGGACCAAUAUCCCCUUGAACCUCUCCCACGUUUCUUGCAGUGUUUCAGCUGAUUUUUGCCUGAAGCUUAAUAUCUCAUCAACUUGCUU